CCUACGGGGGGCAGCAGUGAGGAAUAUUGGUCAAUGGUCGGAAGGCUGAACCAGCCAAGUAGCGUGAAGGAUGACUGCCCUACGGGUUGUAAACUUCUUUUAUAAAGGAAUAAAGUGAUGCACGUGUGCCUUUUUGUAUGUACUUUAUGAAUAAGGAUCGGCUAACUCCGUGCCAGCAGCCGCGGUAAUACGGAGGAUCCGAGCGUUAUCCGGAUUUAUUGGGUUUAAAGGGAGCGUAGAUGGGUUGUUAAGUCAGUUGUGAAAGUUUGCGGCUCAACCGUAAAAUUGCAAUUGAUACUGGCAGCCUUGAGUACAGUUGAGGUAGGCGGAAUUCGUGGUGUAGCGGUGAAAUGCUUAGAUAUCACGAAGAACUCCGAUUGCGAAGGCAGCUUACUAAACUGCCACUGACAUUGAUGCUCGAAAGUGUGGGUAUCAAACAGGAUUAGAUACCCCAGUAGUC
rnacentral:rRNA from 1 species